AUAUCACGAUUUCCCCGAUAUCUAUUUCCACCAUUUGUCUUUCUUCUUAUUGCUGCUAUUAGUGUUUUAAGUCUUAAUUGUUAAUUGUUAGUGUUUUAAGUCUUUAUCAGUUCCUAGUUGCUACAAUUGUUAGUGUUUUGCAAGUUGCAAAAGGUUAAUUUGUUAAUGGAAGGAGAGUAUACUGAAUUGCUAUAUAUCUCACCACGAUAACCUAUAUCUCAAAUAUCGGUCCUUGACCGAUAUCCGACUUUUUACCGCAUUAACUGCAUAGCCAGUAACCUUUUGAAACUAUUAUUACAUUUCUUGGCUAAAAAUUGGUUAUGGUUUUUGCUUUAAUAUACCAUGUUACGGAUUAAAGUUAUUAUUAAACAGGAUUUUAAGGACGUUCUAGAUCGUGCAUCAAGUUAUUUCGGUGUGUAUCAUGCUAUUGUUUCACUAUUAAGAUGCUUGUUAUUUUGUACAUUCAGAAGCACACUUGUAAUGGCUGAUGCUGAAUUUCAAGAGGAUUCAAGAGCUUCUAUACUUGGUCUAAAUUCGACAGAUUCUACAGAGCUGUGGCUCAUACAAUGGCCUAGAGAUCAAGUAAGAUGUAUUCCUAUUUGCUCAGAAUUCGAUGUCAUUCUUUAUUUGUUAUUCGGUUCAGUUGAUCAUUCAAUAGGUCGCUUUAUAAGUUGUAUAUUUCUUGAGCAAAGAUUAUGUUGAUUGGGACUGCAGGUUCCUGAUAUUGAUGGGCAACGAAUCUCGUUGGAUCUUCAUCAUGAUGAUGGGCAGUUGGGUACUUUUGAAGCUUCAUCUGGAAAAUCGUAUGAUGUUGUUAACUUUGCAGCACAAGAACCAAAAGCCACAGUGUUUCUAUCUUCUGCAGCAGAUUCAAAAAUCCGUAUGCCUUCAUAUAUUUCAUUGGUAAGAUUACAAGGCGAGUUUCCUUUGCUCAUUAUUUGGAGCCUAGCGAAGUGCCAAAAGAUGACACCAAGAGGCUAAAACAGCUCUAUGAAAGGUCUUCUGCAACAUCAUUGACUAAUUCUACGUAUAAUUUUGCAACCCCUUCAAAGAGUACAAGACCCGGGUCAAUUGGUCGGACCUCUACUCAUAGCAGUGGACGUAAAAGUUCUUUAUCUGAAGAAAAGGUGCGACACAAGCCUAGCAGGUCUGGCCAGAGCUCGGAUCAAUCUGAAGAGAAGAAAGCAAAGAAGAAAAAGAAACAUGUGGCUUGAGAUAAUGUUAUUUGUGAUCUUAUGUUUAUUUAUUUUGUCUUGUAUGGUCAUUUUUUUGGGUGGUAAUACCAGAGUUUUGACUCAUGGAAAUCCUUUAGUUCUUCAUAUGAAUUCAGUUUAUGUAUAGUUAUGCAGAGAUCACCCUAAGAUAGGAAGAUUCAUCCUUUAACAUGGUAGGUGUGGUUUCUCUGAACUACAUUUUACAUAGGAAGAUUCAUGUUACAUGCAAAU